rnacentral:rRNA from 1 species
GACGAACUGUGCAAACGUUAUUCGGAAUCACUGGGCUUGAAGAGUGCGUAGGCGGUUUCGUAAGUAGGGUGUGAAAGCCUCCGGCUUAACCGGAGAAUUGCGCCCUAAACUGCGAGGCUGGAGUGAGGUAGGGGUGUGUGGAACUUCCAGUGGAGCGGUGAAAUGUGUUGAUAUUGGAAGGAACGCCGGUGGCGAAAGCGACUCACUGGACCUUGUCUGACGCUGAGGCACGAAAGCCAGGGGAGCAAACGGG